AUCAGUAUCAACAUCAACAUCAACAUCAACAUCAACAUCAACAUCAACUUCAUCCUCUACAUCUUCGUCUACUGAAAAUGGAGCACCCGGAUUUGCACCUUCAAUUCUCGGAGCCAACGGACAAGAAUGCGUCGGAGAUGGUUGUAUCCCCUUGGACGGUGCAGCAGUUCUGGUCGAUCCUCCAGUUAUCGAUGUUGGAGAGCCUGCUCAGUGAACAAGCAGAAUGUUUAAAGCGUGGUCCUGAGGAAAACCCGAUACUUUGGGAUUGUGUUACCGGUGCAUGGUGACACUAAAUUUCUACGGAAGUUCUUUUGAAGUGCGAGACCACGUUUGACGCCUGAUUGGACCAUAGUGGAUUAUAUACUGGUUUACAUUCACACACGGAAUGUAAAGUAGAUAGCACUGUUAUUUAGAUAUAUUCAGAUAACUCGACAAAUGUAAAGCCCAUGCCAAACAUCAAUAUGUGAUUGUGACCACAUAAUU